UGACCUCAAAUCAGGUAGGAUUACCCGCUGAACUUAAGCAUAUCAAUAAGCGGAGGAAAAGAAACUAACAAGGAUU
rnacentral:rRNA from 1 species